rnacentral:lncRNA from 1 species
AAGUGUGUUUUUAGAGUCUUUUAGUCGUUUAUCGAGUUUCUACAGGUUUUAGGUUGCUUCGGAGGAAAACGAGCUGUUUUGGGAUAUAAACACACAUUUGGAGAUGCAGUUUCGUUUAGAAGUGUCAGACGUUUUGCCUCAGAUGGAAUACUUUCCACCGUUAGAUCUUUCUGCAUUUUUUACACAAGUUAUAUGAAGAUGUUAGCUUGAGCUUACAAGUGGUUUGAAGGAAAUCUAACGGUGCAUUCAAGAUUUAUACCCGAAUUAGUGAAGACAGGUCAUUCUGCCGAGCAUUUGAAGCAGUUGCGGAGUUGGAGACCAGAAGAUCCAGAUCGAUCGAUCCACUUGUGGAUCGAUCGAUCC